UGGAAUGUCUUGUGUUUCUUCUCUGGAUGG
rnacentral:piRNA from 1 species